AGGGGUAUAGUUCAGCUGGUAGAGCGACAGUCUCCAAAACUGUUUGUCGGGAGUUCGAAUCUCUCUGCCCCUGCCA
rnacentral:tRNA from 2 species